GAUGAACGCUAGCUGCAGGCUUAACACAUGCAAGUCGAGGGACCGGCGCACGGGUGAGUAACACGUAUCCCACCUGCCCUUUACUCGGGGAUAGCCUUUAGAAAGAAAAAUUAAUACCCGAUGUAAAGGAGGGUGAUGCGUUCCAUUAGGUUGUUGGUGAGGUAACGGCUCACCAAGCCUUCGAUGGAUAGGGGUUCUGAGAGGAAGGUCCCCCACAUUGGAAAUGAGACACGGUCCAAACUCCUACGGGAGGCAGCAGUGAGUAAUAUUGGUCAAUGGGCGUUAGCCGGACCCAGCCAAGUAGCGUGAAGGAGGAAGGCUUAUGGGUCGUAAACUUCUUUUAUAUAAGAAUAUGUAUUAUAUGAAUAAGGAUCGGCUAACUCCGUGCCAGCAGCCGCGGUAAUUC
rnacentral:rRNA from 1 species